rnacentral:lncRNA from 1 species
UACCACAUUUGCUGUUCAUCACUGAAGGAAGUCAGGACAGGAAUUCAAGCCAUGGAGAGAUGCUGCUUUCUGGCUUGCUUCCCAUGGCUUGCUCCACCUGCUUUCUUACAGAAUCCAGGACCACGUGCUCAGGGAUGGUACAACCCCCAAUGGACUGGAUCCUCUCCCACUGAUCACUAAUUGAGAAAUUGCCUUAUAGCUGGAUCUCAUGGAGGCCUUUCCUCAACUGAAGUUCCUUUCUCUCUGAUGACUAGGUAGUGUCAAGUUGACACACAAAACCAGUCAGUAUGCCAUUUAUCCAGCUUGAUAAGUUCUCAAAGCACAAAGAAGUAUCAUGUGCACAUUUCUUCUAAUCACUGGGGUAUCUCACACAGGCCUGGAGCUGGGGUUGCUGAUGGUGGUCUAUUAGGGCAGACAGAAGAUGAUGGAAUGGAGAGCUUGAUCUCUUCCAUCCAAUGACUGUGUGUGUGUGUGUGUGUUUGUUUGUGUAAAACUGUUAGAGAUUAUUUACAUUGUGAAUUUCUAAGUCAUAUCCUGCUACGGUUCCACCCAGAGGGAUAGGGCUUAAAUCUGAACUUUGCUAAGAAGAUUGGCAAAAAAUGCAUAGGUAGUCCUUAGAGAAACUGUGUGUUCACCCUCGUCAGUCACACAGCUGUCCACCUUUGUCCUUUCAUUUCUGUCUCCAGCUAGAACAUCAGGCUCGGCUCAACUCUGCCUCCACAGGACCUAGUGUAGCUCUCUGUGAGAGUUCAGGUAAGUAUAUCAGGGCCUCCUGGCAAAGCCCAUAUCUUGAGGCCAUGGUGAGGCCAGGAACAGUCAUGGGCCAGGUAGUCAGCACAAGAAUUGGCUGGGCCAGAGUGCAGAAGUUCAGGGCCAAAUCAUGUUGGAGAUGGACGUUGCAUCGAGGGAGUGGUCAAUAGCACUUUGGUCUCAGGACACAAUGUUGAAAGAGGAUCUUGUUCCAUCAAAGCAGUGGGGAGGAAGGUGAACAGCAGGCCCAUCUAGGGAGGGGCUCAUG